GCGGGGAUGCUGGAAUUGGCAGACAGGCUAGACUCAGGAUCUAGUGGCCGUAGGUCGUGUGGGUUCAAGUCCCAUUUCCCGCA
rnacentral:tRNA from 1 species